rnacentral:rRNA from 1 species
UACGGAGGGUGCGAGCGUUGUCCGGAAUCACUGGGCGUAAAGGGCGCGUAGGCGGCCGGCCAAGUCGGGGGUGAAAGCCUGUGGCUCAACCACAGAAUGGCCCUCGAUACUGGACGGCUCGAGACCGGAAGAGGUCGGCGGAACUGCGAGUGUAGAGGUGAAAUUCGUAGAUAUUCGCAAGAACACCAGUGGCGAAGGCGGCCGACUGGUCCGGUUCUGACGCUGAGGCGCGAAAGCGUGGGGAGCAAACAGG